rnacentral:tRNA from 1 species
GGAUUUGUAACUCAGUUGGUAGAGUACCAUCCUUUUAAGAUGGGAGUCGCGGGUCCGAGCCCCGCCAAAUCCA